rnacentral:rRNA from 1 species
UACGGGGGGGGUAAGCGUUGUUCGGAAUUACUGGGCGUAAAGAGCUCGUAGGCGGCUUGUUGCGUCGACUGUGAAAACCCGCGGCUUAACUGCGGGCUUGCAGUCGAUACGGGCAGGCUAGAGUUCGGUAGGGGAGACUGGAAUUCCUGGUGUAGCGGUGAAAUGCGCAGAUAUCGGGAGGAACACCGGUGGCGAAGGCGGUUCUCUGGGCCUUACCUGACGCUGAGGAGCGAAAGCGUGGGGAGCGAACAGG